AACGAACGCUGGCGGCAGGCUUAACACAUGCAAGUUGAACGGGAUUUGUGGGGUGCUUGCACCAUAUAAUGAGAGUAGCGCACUGGUGAGUAACACGUGGGAACAUACCUUAAAGAGUGGAAUAACCAUUGGAAACGAUGGAUAAUACCGCAUACGCCCUGAGGGGGAAAGAUUUAUCGCUCUAAGAUUGGCCCGCCGAAGAUUAGGUAGUUGGUGGGGUAAAUGCCUACCAAGCCUACGACCUAUAGCUCUUCUGAGAGGACGAUCAGCUACGCUGGAACUGGGCCAGGGUCCAGACUCCUGCGGGAGGCAGCAGUGGGGAAUAUUGGACAAUGGGCGAAAGCCUGAUCCAGCAACGCCGCGUGAGGGAUGGCGGACUUCGGGUUGUAAACCUCUUUCAGCAGGGACGAAGCGCAAGUGACGGUACCUGCAGAAGAAGCACCGGCCAACUACGUGCCAGCCGCCGCCGUAA
rnacentral:rRNA from 1 species